rnacentral:rRNA from 1 species
UACGUAGGGUGCAAGCGUUGUCCGGAAUUAUUGGGCGUAAAGAGCUCGUAGGCGGCCAAGCAGGUCCGUUGUGAAAACUGGAGGCUUAACCUCCAGACGUCGACGGAAGCCGCGUGGCUAGAGUCCGGAAGAGGAGAGUGGAAUUCCUGGUGUAGCGGUGAAAUGCGCAGAUAUCAGGAGGAACACCGAUGGCGAAGGCAGGUCUCUGGGCCACUACUGACGCUGAGAAGCGAAAGCAUGGGGAGCGAACAGG